UGAUAGAUCUCCUCAUAAUGCACAACUUUGCCUCAAGAACCAUUGCUGUCAAUCAAAUCGUUCAAUUGUUAUUCACAAAUAUGUUAAAAACCUACUUUUGCGAACUAGUCCUAGGUUUUUUGCCCGAUCGGAACCAAACCACUGCAGUAAUAUUCUGUGGACUCUCUAGAUCAAUAAUUAUUAAAAAAAUGUUGAAUUUUGUCCUUUGGUUAGCUGUAAAGGGAUAAUUUAGAAAAAGGGGUGUGGCCAAACAUACCCCAAAGCCUAUAAAACCUAAAGGAAAACUCAAAACUUUAUGAAACUCAGUGAAAUCAUGUAACAGGUGACUCUUAACAAGCAUGCAAAGUUUCAUGGAGAUCAGACCAUAGGUGGCGCUAUAACAGUAGAAAAGGUCUCAAAACACAAGAUUUAUAUGGUAAAUGGCCUCAAAUUGUUUGAAAAUGUUCAUAUAUUCACUCAAAAACACUAAAUCUUCAUAUCAUAUGAUAAAUCUCCUCAUUCUGAACAACUUUGCCUCUGGGACCAAUGUUGUCAAUAAAGCUGUUAAUUAAAUAUUCAAGAUUAUUUAAAAAAGUUACUUUGGCAUACUUGUGAUACGGUUUAAGAUGAAAAUCAAUAAAACCACUGAAGUACAAUUCUCUAGACUCUGAAGGUCAAUAAUUAUCAAAAACAUGUUGAACAAUUGCAUUUGGGCAACUAUAAACCAGUCAUUUUAUGAUAUGUUCUUUUCAUAGUGCACACAAAGGCCUAUUAAUACAAACAGAAAGCCCACAAAUUAUCAAAACUGUGUAAAAUAAUGCAUAAUUUCAUUCUAAACAAGCAUGCAAAAUUUAGGAGAGAUUGGGCAAAAAAAAAAUAACACUAUAACAGUUAUGUUUAAAAACACAGUGUUGUUUGAGUAAAUGCAAUUUAUAACCACUAGAUGGCAGCGGAAGACCACUAAUGGGCUCAUUCAGUAAAGUUGAACAGUACUGUUGAAAGGAUUCAUGAAUUCAUGCCAGAACAUUAAAAAAUGAACUGUUAUAACAUUUUAAAUCUCAUUGAGUCAAUGUUUUCCAUUUUGUUCAUACAGAUAAAUCAGUUUUUAAAAUUUUGCCACAUUAUGAUUACAGUUUAACCUAAGAAAUGACAUCUAAACUCUUAAAAAGAGAAGACUUACAAUAAGUUUAUUGUCACCCAUCACUUAUUUCAAAUACCUAUAUCUGCAACAAAAUGUGUGUGCAUGUAAAUGUGUGUCUUUGUCUGUGUGUGUGUGUGUGUGUGUGUGUGUGUGUGUGUGUGUGUGUGUGUGUGCACAUGCUUAUAGAGAAUUAAUAUAUUAGUCUAAUCAUUUAAUUUCAGUGUUUGUGUCUGUCUGCCAGCCUGUUCUCCAUUUUGGAUGUGUUUAACUGUCAUCCGUACAUCCAGGUUGGCUGAGACCACCUCAGAGGCCUUAAUGUGCUUGAACCCCGGUAAAAUGCUGCUUGCAGCUUUAAUUAUUAUUAUUAUUAUUAUUCUUCUGCCCUAGAACUGAACGUGCAGCCCAAACCGUAAGGCGUAGAGAGCUGAAAUUUGGACAGAUCGUAGAGCUCAAUUUGGGGAGAACUUAUCAAAGUCUCAGCCCAAUCGGCCUAACGGGGGCGCUACAGCACAAAAAACAAAAAUUUUGGACAUUUUUGGCCGUAAAUCGUAUACCGUUAGCCGUAGACUCAAAAACAUGGCAUUGUUGCAAUCCUUGGGUUAGCCCGAACAAAAGUGCACGGCGCCUUUUUGGGGUCUACGGCGCACCGUUUUCUCGCAAAAUCGAGCUAUAUCCGAAACCUACUUUUGCGAACUAGUCCUAGGAUUUUCAACCAAUCAGAACCAAACCACUUCAUAAAUAUUCCCUGGACACUCAAUAUCAAUAAUUAUUAAAAAAAAUUGAAAUUUCAAUUCUUACGCGAAACAGUACGCCAAAAAGCGUCUAUGCUAACGUUAGCCAAAUACUAUUUUGACUAUAACUCUUGAACGGAAUGAGAUAUCUUCACCAAACUC